ACCUGCGGAAGGAUCAUUGUCGUGACCCUGACCAAAACAGACCGUGAACAUGUCAUCCAUGCCGCCGGGUGAUGGGUCUUGCACCUGUCCCUCGGAACAGGGAACCUUCCUCUCUUCGGAGAGGAGCGUUCCUAAAAGAACCCACGGCGCCGUAUGGCGUCAAGGAACACUGAUGAUGCCUUGCACGGGCGUGGUCCGGCUUGCCGGUUCCACCCACGUGCAGCGAUGAUCUGAUAAUCCACAUGACUCUCGGCAACGGAUAUCUUGGCUCUCGCAUCGAUGAAGAACGUAGCAAAAUGCGAUACCUGGUGUGAAUUGCAGAAUCCCGUGAACCAUUGAGUUUUUGAACGCAAGUUGCGCCCGAGACCUUCUGGUCGAGGGCACGUCUGCCUGGGCGUCACGCCACAAGACACUCCCUUCCACCAUAUUGAUGAUGGGGAUGUGGUAUUUGGCUCCCCGUGCAUCACGACACGGAGGGCCUAAGUUGGGGCUGCCGGCGGUGCCGAUCACAGCACAAGGUGGAUGGCGAAAGUUAUUCUCGUUGCUAUGUUUCGGACCGCAUGUGGAUCACCCUUAGCACCCAUAUACCGAAGCGCACAUAGCUCGGACCGCGACCCCAGGUCAGUCGGGACUACCCGCUGAAUUUAAGCAUAUCAAUAAGCGG
rnacentral:rRNA from 1 species